GACGAACGCUGGCGGCGUGCUUAACACAUGCAAGUCGAACGGAAAGGCCCUGCUUUUGUGGGGUGCUCGAGUGGCGAACGGGUGAGUAACACGUGAGUAACCUGCCCCUGACUUUGGGAUAACUUCAGGAAACUGCGGCUAAUACCGGAUAGGAGCUCCUUCUGCAUGGUGGGGUUUGGAAAGUUUCUGCGGUUGGGGAUGGACUCGCGGCUUAUCAGCUUGUUGGUGGGGUAGUGGCUUACCAAGGCUUUGACGGGUAGCCGGCCUGAGAGGGUGACCGGCCACAUUGGGACUGAGAUACGGCCCAGACUCCUACGGGAGGCAGCAGUGGGGAAUAUUGCACAAUGGGCGGAAGCCUGAUGCAGCAACGCCGCGUGCGGGAUGACGGCCUUCGGGUUGUAAACCGCUUUCGCCUGUGACGAAGCGUGAGUGACGGUAAUGGGUAAAGAAGCACCGGCUAACUACGUG
rnacentral:rRNA from 1 species